rnacentral:rRNA from 1 species
CCUACGGGUGGCAGCAGUAGGGAAUCUUUCACAAUGGGCGAAAGCCUGAUGGAGCAACGCCGCGUGCAGGAUGAAGGCCUUCGGGUUGUAAACUGCUUUUAUAAGCGAGAAAUAUGAUGGUAACUUAUGAAUAAGGAUCGGCUAACUACGUGCCAGCAGCCGCGGUCAUACGUGGGAUCCGAGCAUUAUCAGGAGUGACUGGGUGUAAAGAGGUUCGUAGGUGGCAUAAUAAGUAGCUAGUGAAAUCUGGUGGCUCAAACAUGCAGACUAUUAGGUAAACUGUUAAGCUCGAGACCGUUAGGGGUAAGUGGAAUUGCUGGUGUAGGAGUGAAAUCCGUAGAUAUUAGAAGGAACACCAAUGGCGUAGGCAGGUAGCUGGGACGGUUCUGACACUAAGGAACGAAAGCGUAGGGAGCAAACGGGAUUAGAUACCCCAGUAGUC